CCAGGAAGUGUUUCCUGUAUUUUUUUUUUAUUGAAGGACAGCGCCUGCCAAUCAUCUAUCGUGACAACUAGUGGCACGCCUAUCAAGCGUCCAAUGCUGUGAAGCGUCGCGACCCCUCGCGUGCGAAAACCCCCCUGUGGACAAGUACUCCGGCGAUGACGAAGAUACGGCGCAUUCAGGCAGGACAGGAGAGGCGUCAAGCGGCAGAGGACCGACAGGAAGGUCGGGCAUUAGAGAGGCAGCGACAGUGUGUAGAACCAGAAUAUUUUUCAUAUCUAACUCAGUGGAUUAAGGAUUUAUUUCGACCAAACCAGAGUUGGUGAUUAUUGGAUCAGUUUAAAGACUAACCAAAACGGUUUUGGUCUAAGUAGGUCCUCCCGAGACAUCCUGAAGGGUUUCCAUGUCAGAUGGGAAGUAUGGAUUCCUCCAGUCAGUCCUGCAUGCACCUGGGCUCUCCUCCCAGGUCGACAUUCCCAGAAUACCUACAAAGGGAGGCGUCCCAUGGAGCCACCUUCAGAUGUCUGAACCACCUCAACUAGCUCCUUUCAACAUGAAGGUGCAAUUCUGCUCUGAGAUCCCACUUGCUAUCUGAGCUUCUUGGAUUUUCUCCAACACCAUGUGCCUAAGGCCUCGUUCAGACCAACUUUAGCCCUGUGUGAAAAAACGCAGACCCCUCAUUCAUUUGAAAGAGGCUAGUCUGGUAACACAGUGGGCAUGCUGAUGCAGAGGGGUCUGGCAAAAAACCACAGGGCAAAAAAGUUGAACCAGCCUCAACUUUUGCUGGACAGCAAUGCGACACUAAGCACUGCGGUGAUCAAUCAAAUACGUGCAAGCACACAUUCCUGUUAGAGUACUUUGUGAUGUGAAUGCCGUAUUUCUUCUGUUUACCCGGUAAAUUGUCGUGAAAAAACACAAAAUAAUUGCUGCCGUGAUAACUUUCCAGAGCAGCACAAUCCUGUGGACAUGGACAAUCCGGUCCAUGUGCAAGUCUUCAAACUGAACGUCCUGGCUUUCAUGUCUCACCGGUACCUGAAGCAACACACCCUCACAAAUGUAGGCCCUUGAGUUGUUUUAAUGCAAGACACCUGCUAACACUGGCCCCGUAGCUACCGGAGCAAGCAGCAGCUUCAAUCCUCCGUUGGUGUCUACAUUGGAUACAUUCAGCCACAGUACUAGUGAUGUAUCAGUCGUGAAGGAUGGGAGCCUGCUCAUGACUAAGAGCCACCCCCCGCCCCCGGAAAAAGAAAUGAACGACACUUCUUUUGAACAGUGCAGAAAUAUUUUUUGUUUAAUAUUAGGCCUAUAUCACACAAAUUAAAUUGAAAUGUGUCUGUA